UGGGGAAUCUUGGACAAUGGGUGAGAGCCUGAUCCAGCCAUGCCGCGUGCAGGAAGAAGGCCUUCUGGGUUGUAAACUGCUUUUGCCGGGGGAUAAAAGGCCCCUGCGGGGGACAUUGAAGGUACCCGGUGAAUAAGCCACGGCUAACUACGUGCCAGCAGCCGCGGUAAUACGUAGGUGGCAAGCGUUGUCUGGAUUUAUUGGGUUUAAAGGGUGCGUAGGCGGCCCCGUAAGUCAGUGGUGAAAUACGGCAGCUCAACUGUCGAGGUGCCAUUGAUACUGCGGGGCUUGAGUAUGGACGAGGUAAGCGGAAUUGACGGUGUAGCGGUGAAAUGCUUAGAUAUCGUCAAGAACACCGAUAGCGAAGGCAGCUUACUAGGCCAUAACUGACGCUGAGGCACGAAGGUGCGGGGAUCAAACAGGAUUAGAUACCCCCGUAGUCCCUGAGCGGGCUGGCAAGGCGCAU
rnacentral:rRNA from 1 species